rnacentral:lncRNA from 1 species
GGGUUGAUGUUCAUGGGUGAUUGAUCAUCCUGUAGCGACGGUGGUAUUGACUGUUCCCCAGAGGACAAGGAGUGUGUUCUUAUGAAUGGACAUCAUGAUUGGGAUUGUCUUUAUUAAACUUUGUCAGGAGAGUAAAGAUCAAUGUGGCCACAUGUUGUGGCUCAUGCCUGUAAUCCCAACACUGUAAUCCCAGCACUGUAAUCCCAGCCUGUAAUCCCAGGCUGAGGUGGGCGGAUCACCUGAGGUUGGGAGUUCGAGACCAGCCUGACCAACAUGGAGAAACCCCGUCUCUACUAAAAAUACAAAAUUAGCCGGGCAUGGUGGCGCAUGUCUUUAAUUCCAGCUACUCAGGAGGCUGAGGCAGGAGAAACGCUUGAACCCGAGAGGCGGAGGUUGCAGUGAGCUGAGAUUGCGCCAUUGCACUCCAGCCUGGGCAACAAGAGUGAAACUCCAUCUCAAAAGAAAAAAAAAAGAAAACAAAA